AACAAGUAGGUAGGAUAAAUUUUAUAGUAACGAAGGGAAGUAAGGAAAUCUCAAAAAAAAAAAAAANGAAAUCUCAAAAAAAAUAAACUAGAUCUUCAGGGUAAGAGAAGCCUUAGUGAAAGACAAAUUCAUAAAGAUCACUCAAAAAUAAAAAGAGAUUUCAUUAGGUAACAAGUAAGAUCUUGAAUAUUAGAAUUCACCGUCAAUUCAUUAGUGGUGUUGAACUUUGGGUUUCACUUAGUACAUAGUGGCAUGAAACUAAGAUCAUGAACGCAGAUUUUGUAUAACCGUAAACCUCAAUGGUUAAUACUGAGAGUCUCAGAGGUUAUAUUGGUGUAACGAAGUAUAAUGGAGAAAAGUGACGGAGAUGGUAUAAGAAGCGAAUGUACCUCUGCUCUAAAGAAAAGAAGGACCAAGCAGAAAACUCUAAACUCAAUGUGAGUAGAGUAAGGUAGCUCAUGAUUAGAGUGAAUUUGACAGCCUGGAUUGGGAAAACAUGAUUGGUAUAUAUCAUGUUAUUAAGGCUUCACUCAAAAAUCUUUCGAGGCUUUAGUCAAC
rnacentral:lncRNA from 1 species